rnacentral:rRNA from 1 species
UNUGAAGUUAAAGGCUGUGGCUUAACCAUAGUACGCUUUGGAAACUGUUUAACUUGAGUGCAGAAGGGGAGAGUGGAAUUCCAUGUGUAGCGGUGAAAUGCGUAGAUAUAUGGAGGAACACCGGUGGCGAAAGCGGCUCUCUGGUCUGUAACUGACGCUGAGGCUCGAAAGCGUGGGGAGCGAACAGGAUUAGAUACCCUGGUAGUNCACGCCGUAAACGAUGAGUGCUAGGUGUUAGGCCCUUUCCGGGGCUUAGUGCCGCAGCUAACGCAUUAAGCACUCCGCCUGGGGAGUACGACCGCAAGGUUGAAACUCAAAGGAAUUGACGGGGGCCCGCACAAGCGGUGGAGCAUGUGGUUUAAUUCGAAGCAACGCGAAGAACCUUACCAGGUCUUGACAUCCCGAUGCCCGCUCUAGAGAUAGAGUUUUACUUCGGUACAUCGGUGACAGGUGGUGCAUGGUUGUCGUCAGCUCGUGUCGUGAGAUGUUGGGUUAAGUCCCGCAACGAGCGCAACCCUUAUUGUUAGUUGCCAUCAUUCAGUUGGGCACUCUAGCGAGACUGCCGGUAAUAAACCGGAGGAAGGUGGGGAUGACGUCAAAUCAUCAUGCCCCUUAUGACCUGGGCUACACACGUGCUACAAUGGCUGGUACAACGAGUCGCAAGUCGGUGACGGCAAGCUAAUCUCUUAAAGCCAGUCUCAGUUCGGAUUGUAGGCUGCAACUCGCCUACAUGAAGUCGGAAUCGCUAGUAAUCGCGGAUCAGCACGCCGCGGUGAAUACGUUCCCGGGCCUUGUACACACCGCCCGUCACACCACGAGAGUUUGUAACACACGAAGUCGGUGAGGUAACCUUUUAGGAGCCAGCCGCCUAAGG